GCUUACGGCCAUAUCACGUUGAAAGCACCGGUUCUCGUCCGAUCACCGAAGUUAAGCAACGUCUAGCCUAGUUAGUACUUAGAUGGGUGACCGCUUGGGAAACCUAAGUGCUGUUAGCG
rnacentral:rRNA from 1 species